rnacentral:rRNA from 1 species
GACGAACGCUGGCGGCGUGCCUAAUACAUGCAAGUCGAACGCAGUGGGGACGGGUGAGUAACACGUGGGUAACCUCCCAUCAGAGGGGAUAACACUUGGAAAAAGGUGAUAAACCGAUAUUGAUGUAUGGGCCAGCGGGGCAGUAGCUAGGUGGAGAGGUAUCGGCUCACCAAGGCACCGAUGCAUAGCCGCCCUGAGAGGGUGACAGGCUACACGGGGACGGUGAGACGGCCCAGACUCCUACGGGAGGCAGCAGUAGGGAAUCUUCGGCAAUGGACGAAAGUCUGACCGAGCAACGCCGCGUGAGUGAAGAAGGUUUUCGGAUCGUAAAACUCUGUUGUUAGAGAAGCGGUAUCUAACCAGAAAGCCACGGCUAACUACGUGCCAGCAGCCGCGGUAAUUC